UGCAAGUCGAACGAGUUCUCGUUGAUGAUCGGUGCUUGCACCGAGAUUCAACAUGGAACGAGUGGCGGACGGGUGAGUAACACGUGGGUAACCUGCCCUUAAGUGGGGGAUAACAUUUGGAAACAGAUGCUAAUACCGCAUAGAUCCAAGAACCGCAUGGUUCUUGGCUGAAAGAUGGCGUAAGCUAUCGCUUUUGGAUGGACCCGCGGCGUAUUAGCUAGUUGGUGAGGUAAUGGCUCACCAAGGCGAUGAUACGUAGCCGAACUGAGAGGUUGAUCGGCCACAUUGGGACUGAGACACGGCCCAAACUCCUACGGGAGGCAGCAGUAGGGAAUCUUCCACAAUGGACGCAAGUCUGAUGGAGCAACGCCGCGUGAGUGAAGAAGGCUUUCGGGUCGUAAAACUCUGUUGUUGGAGAAGAAUGGUCGGCAGAGUAACUGUUGCCGGCGUGACGGUAUCCAACCAGAAAGCCACGGCUAACUACGUGCCAGCAGCCGCGGUAAUACGUAGGUGGCAAGCGUUAUCCGGAUUUAUUGGGCGUAAAGCGAGCGCAGGCGGUUUUUUAAGUCUGAUGUGAAAGCCCUCGGCUUAACCGAGGAAGCGCAUCGGAAACUGGGAAACUUGAGUGCAGAAGAGGACAGUGGAACUCCAUGUGUAGCGGUGAAAUGCGUAGAUAUAUGGAAGAACACCAGUGGCGAAGGCGGCUGUCUGGUCUGUAACUGACGCUGAGGCUCGAAAGCAUGGGUAGCGAACAGGAUUAGAUACCCUGGUAGUCCAUGCCGUAAACGAUGAAUGCUAGGUGUUGGAGGGUUUCCGCCCUUCAGUGCCGCAGCUAACGCAUUAAGCAUUCCGCCUGGGGAGUACGACCGCAAGGU
rnacentral:rRNA from 1 species